rnacentral:rRNA from 1 species
GUCCACGCCGUAAACGAUGAAUACUAGGUGUCGGGGCCGUAUAGGCUUCGGUGCCGCCGCUAACGCAGUAAGUAUUCCACCUGGGGAGUACGUUCGCAAGAAUGAAACUCAAAGGAAUUGACGGGGACCCGCACAAGCGGUGGAGCAUGUGGUUUUAAUUCGAAGCAACGCGAAGAACCUUACCAGGUCUUGACAUCUUUCUGACCACUCCGUAAUGGGAGUCUUCCUUCGGGGACAGAAGAGACAGGUGGUGCAUGGUUGUCGU